rnacentral:lncRNA from 10 species
GUUGGUUCCUUGCUUCUUACUUGUAAACGUGUCCUCCAUUAUCUCAAGCAGCAGAGCAUAUACUAUAUGCAUCAAAGGAAAUGCUAAACCGUCACAGCUAGGCUUAAUGCACCACCUUUCUACCCCCACAUCCCCACGCCCUCACCUGUUUACCCUCAUGUCCUCACCACCUGCUUCUUUGUUUGAUCACCAAUAAAUAGUGUGAGAUCCCAGAGCUUGGGGCCUUCACGGCCUCCAAUCUAGCGCUGGGCCCCUGGACCUACUUUAUGCACUCUUAACUUGUCUUUUCUCAUUCCUUUGAUCCUGCUGGGUUUUGUAGCCCCCAUGGCCUGGUGUUGGGCCUGAUCACCCCAACAUUUCUGGUGCCCAGCGUGGGGCUAUGAAGACCCCAGUAGCUAGAGCAUGUGGAAGUGGAGGACGCAUCAUCAAAGGAAACCUGAGGAUGACCGAAAGGAGCUCGCCUGCAGAUGUGGAAGCUGCCUCUGGAGAGAAAGCCACCGCCAAGAACAAGCAAUGAUAACUAUGGCGGUUUUGCAAACAAGGAAAGGGAGACAUGUUGGUAGAAGAGCUGAG